GAUGAACGCUAGCGACAGGCCUAACACAUGCAAGUCGAGGGGCAGCACAUGAGUAGCAAUACGAUGGUGGCGACCGGCGCACGGGUGAGUAACACGUAUGCAACCUACCGGUAAAAGGGGGAUAGCCUCUCGAAAGAGAGAUUAAUACCGCAUAAUAUCUCUGGAUGGCAUCAUUUAGAGAUUAAACAUUUAUGGUUUACCGAUGGGCAUGCGUAUGAUUAGCUAGUAGGUGAGGUAACGGCUCACCUAGGCAACGAUCAUUAGGGGUUCUGAGAGGAAGGUCCCCCACACUGGUACUGAGACACGGACCAGACUCCUACGGGAGGCAGCAGUGAGGAAUAUUGGUCAAUGGGCGAGAGCCUGAACCAGCCAAGUCGCGCGAAGGAUGAAGGUUCUAUGGAUUGUAAACUUCUUUUGUAAGGGAAUAAAAAGAGCUACGUGUAGUUUAUUGUAUGUACUUUACGAAUAAGGAUCGGCUAACUCCGUGCCAGCAGCCGCAGUAA
rnacentral:rRNA from 1 species